rnacentral:rRNA from 1 species
UGGGGAAUAUUGGACAAUGGGCGCAAGCCUGAUCCAGCAAUGCCGCGUGGGUGAAGAAGGUCUUCGGAUUGUAAAGCCCUUUCGGCGGGGACGAUGAUGACGGUACCCGCAGAAGAAGCCCCGGCUAACUUCGUGCCAGCAGCCGCGGUAAUACGAAGGGGGCUAGCGUUGCUCGGAAUUACUGGGCGUAAAGGGCGCGUAGGCGGUUCUGUUAGUCAGGCGUGAAAUUCCUGGGCUCAACCUGGGGGCUGCGCUUGAUACGGCGGGACUAGAGGAUGGAAGAGGCUCGUGGAAUUCCCAGUGUAGAGGUGAAAUUCGUAGAUAUUGGGAAGAACACCGGUGGCGAAGGCGGCGAGCUGGUCCAUUACUGACGCUGAGGCGCGACAGCGUGGGGAGCAAACA